AGCAAUCGACAUAUGGUGCGCUGUGCCAAGCCAAAAUGACUGCCGUCAAUGUGAACACUACUUGUCAUUUUCACAAAGCGC